rnacentral:rRNA from 1 species
GACGAACGCUGGCGGCGUGCCUAAUACAUGCAAGUAGAACGCUGAAGAGAGGAGCUUGCUCUUCUUGGAUGAGUUGCGAACGGGUGAGUAACGCGUAGGUAACCUGCCUUGUAGCGGGGGAUAACUAUUGGAAACGAUAGCUAAUACCGCAUAACAAUGGAUGACACAUGUCAUUUAUUUGAAAGGGGCAAUUGCUCCACUACAAGAUGGACCUGCGUUGUAUUAGCUAGUAGGUGAGGUAACGGCUCACCUAGGCGACGAUACAUAGCCGACCUGAGAGGGUGAUCGGCCACACUGGGACUGAGACACGGCCCAGACUCCUACGGGAGGCAGCAGUAGGGAAUCUUCGGCAAUGGGGGCAACCCUGACCGAGCAACGCCGCGUGAGUGAAGAAGGUUUUCGGAUCGUAAAGCUCUGUUGUAAGUCAAGAACGAGUGUGAGAGUGGAAAGUUCACACUGUGACGGUAGCUUACCAGAAAGGGACGGCUAACUACGUGCCAGCAGCCGCGGUAAUACGUAGGUCCCGAGCGUUGUCCGGAUUUAUUGGGCGUAAAGCGAGCGCAGGCGGUUUGAUAAGUCUGAAGUUAAAGGCUGUGGCUCAACCAUAGUUCGCUUUGGAAACCGUCAAACUUGAGUGCAGAAGGGGAGAGUGGAAUUCCAUGUGUAGCGGUGAAAUGCGUAGAUAUAUGGAGGAACACCGGUGGCGAAAGCGGCUCUCUGGUCUGUAACUGACGCUGAGGCUCGAAAGCGUGGGGAGCGAACAGGAUUAGAUACCCUGGUAGUCCACGCCGUAAGCGAUGAGUGCUAGGUGUUGGAUCCUUUCCGGGAUUCAGUGCCGCAGCUAACGCAUUAAGCACUCCGCCUGGGGAGUACGACCGCAAGGUUGAAACUCAAAGGAAUUGACGGGGGCCCGCACAAGCGGUGGAGCAUGUGGUUUAAUUCGAAGCAACGCGAAGAACCUUACCAGGUCUUGACAUCCCGAUGCUAUUUCUAGAGAUAGAAAGUUACUUCGGUACAUCGGUGACAGGUGGUGCAUGGUUGUCGUCAGCUCGUGUCGUGAGAUGUUGGGUUAAGUCCCGCAACGAGCGCAACCCCUAUUGUUAGUUGCCAUCAUUCAGUUGGGCACUCUAGCGAGACUGCCGGUAAUAAACCGGAGGAAGGUGGGGAUGACGUCAAAUCAUCAUGCCCCUUAUGGCCUGGGCUACACACGUGCUACAAUGGUUGGUACAACGAGUUGCGAGUCGGUGACGGCAAGCUAAUCUCUUAAAGCCAAUCUCAGUUCGGAUUGUAGGCUGCAACUCGCCUACAUGAAGUCGGAAUCGCUAGUAAUCGCGGAUCAGCACGCCGCGGUGAAUACGUUCCCGGGCCU